UUUUUAGAUCUUCCUGGAGGAGCUUGCUAUUAAAUCGAUAAUCCACGAAAAACCUCACCAUUUUUUGAAAAAUCAACUUGUAUACCAUCGUCGUCAGUUUACUUCUUAAGAAAAGUAAACAAAAAGAAUUUAAACUUCACAACGUCAGAUCAAGGUGCAGUUAAUAAAAUGGCAAUAAGUGAGCUACAAUAUUUUUUCAAUUAAUAAGAUUAAAAUAAAAUUAUAGAAAUUUUUAUGAAAUAAAAUUUUAAAAAAGGAUUCAGUAGUAAUGAUUAAAAGAAAAUACUCAUGAAAAAAGCUCUAAAAUUCGC
rnacentral:rRNA from 1 species